GUCAGACUGAGAGGCUGCUGCAGGCCAUUGCAGUUGAUGCCACGUGGCCUAACAAGGUGUGCUUCCACCCAGACAUUGGCAUGAAUAAAGAUUUGAAUUGCUUUGACACCUCAAUCUUGGUUCCUGGGUCAUCUCACUCCUGCGACGCUAGCCCGACAGGUCACUGAAAAGGGAAUUAAAUAUGCAGUACAUGAAAGUUGCCUUGAAUAAAACUAUGAAUUAAAGCAACAAAUUAUGGAAUAUAGUACAUCUGACUAUAAUAAUCACCAUUUGGAAAUUCUACAAGUGUGCAGCAGGAAUUUAUCCAAAGGAAACAACUAUCAAAAGAGAUCUGUGUAUCCCCAUGUUCAUAGCAGCACACUAUGUAAUCACCAAAUCUUGGAAACAACACAGAUGAGUGGCUAAAAACAAAGCAAAGCAAAAACAAAACAAAACAAAAAAACCUGUACUAUAUAUACAAGAUGAAAUACUGUUCAGAAGUUGAAAAUGAUAAAGUCAUCUCCUUUGUGUCAUCUUGGAUGAAAAUGGAAAAAUGUGAAGUGAGACAAGCCAAAAAGAGAAGGACAAAUACCACAUGAUCUCACUUAUAAGUGGGAUCCAGCAAUUAGGGAUAAGGAGGAAGAAGACAAAGUGAAAGAUGAACUAGGCAUGGUGUUUUGCAUCAAAGCAAGGGACUCUGGGAAACUGAAGGUAGGGAGGAGUGAAAGAGAAUUGUAGGGGCUGGGUGCACAUACUGAAAUUAUAUGCUUGUGACGAUGACUGCCCUUAGCUCUCUCAAUAAGAGAUGGAUGGGCUUUAUAGUUCAUGGUUAUUUAUAUAAUUUUCCCAUAUUUGAAACUACUCUGUCCUGAUUCAGAUUUCUUUUUUUUUACAUUUAUUUAUUUAUUUAUUUAUUUUCCCUUUUGUUGCCCUUGUUGUUUAUCAUUGUUGUUUUUUUUUUUUUUUUCCUCCAGGGUUAUUGCUGGGCUCGGUGCCUGCACCAUGAAUCCACCGCUCCUGGAGGCCAUUUUUUCCCCUUUUUGUUGCCCUAGUUGUUGCAGCCUCGUUGCAGUUAUUAUUGCCAUUGUUGACGUUGCUUUGUUGUUAGAUAGGACAGAGAGAAAUGGAGAGAGGAGGGGAAGGCAGAGAGAGAGAGGGGGAGAGAAAGAUAGACACCUGCAGACCUGCUUCACCGCCUGUGAAGCGACUCCCCUGCAGGUGGGGAGCCGGGGGGCUCGAACCGGGAUCCUUAUG